UGUUUUAGUCUGCGUCGAAAUCGCUCCUCCACUCUGACACUCAGCACAGGAGCCCCACAGGGUUGCGUGCUGAGCCCGUUCCUCUACUCCCUGUACACCCAUGACUGUGCUUCAUCUCACAACACCAACAACAGACGACACAACAGUGUUGGGGCUGAUCACCAAAGGCGAUGAGUCUGCCUACAGAGAGGAGGAAGAAGCAGGAUGUACAUUUACCACUGCACAUCAACGGGGAGGAAGUGGAGAGAGUGUCCAGCUACAAAUUUCUGGGCACACACAUUUCAGAGGACCUCUCAUGGAAGACAAACACCACGGUGCAGCAGACAGGAAGUCCCUACAAAGAGUCUUUAAGACUGGACAGAACAUCAUUAACCAACAGCUACCUGCCCUGGACGACAUCUUCGACAACCUCCCGUUGCCUGAAAAAGACACACAACAUCCUGAAGGACUCAUUCCACCCCGCCCAUCACAUGUUUGAACUGUUGCCCUCCGGAAGACGCUACAGGUCCAUUAAAACACGCACCACCAGAUUUAUAAACAGUUUCUAUCCCAAGGCCAUUUCCAUACUGAACUCCAAACUGUAAACCAUGUGCAAUAUGGACUAAUUCCUUUUUAACUGCAUGCAUGCACUUUAUUCUCAUUGAUGAGAAAUUGACUUUUAAUCCUGUUUAACUGCAUACGUUGGUACUGAGCGCAUGGUAUAAAUGUGGUGUGUAGAAUGAGUGGAAGUGAAUGAAUGGAAGUACUUUUUCUUUUAAAUCUUUUAUACUUAUUGAUGAGUUCGGUUCUAGAGUGCACCUGAUUUUCGUUGUAUGUCUGUACAAUGACAAUAAAGAAUCUUGAAUCUUGAAUCUUGAAUUAAGAUAGCAUGUCUGGCUUUCCUUGUAGGAGCAAUCAUGAAUACAAAUAUAUAUUGUCUUGUUGUAUUGAGUCAAUACAAAACAAAUCUGUACAUUCUAACUGCUGUACUUACAAUAAAAUAAAAGCAGAGAGUGUGCUCUUUAACCACA